rnacentral:lncRNA from 1 species
UGCCGGAUCCUGUUUUUGGCUGAUCCAGUUCAUCGCUGUCUGCCCCAGUUUCCCCUGCAGGUCCCCAAGCACACCCACCAGAACAUGUCCAAGUCACUGAAGAAGCUGGUGGAGGAGAGCAGAGAGAAGAACCAGCCGGAAGUGGACAUGAGUGACAGGGGUAUCUCCAGUAUGCUGGAUGUCAACGGCUUGUCUGUGCCACCGAACGUAGCAGAGCUGAAGAACCUUGAGGUACUGAACUUCUUCAAUAACCAGAUCGAGGAACUGCCCACCCAGAUCAGCAGCCUUCAGAAACUCAAACACCUGAACCUUGGCCACCCUGCGUGCACUCUAUCUAAGCGACAACGAUUUUGAAAUCCUGCCUCCAGAUAUUGGGAAGCUCACAAAGUUGCAGAUACUCAGCCUCAGGGACAAUGACCUGAUCUCACUGCCUAAGGAAAUCGGGGAGCUGACCCAGCUGAAGGAGCUCCACAUUCAGGGGAACCGCCUGACCGUUCUGCCUCCAGAGCUCGGCAACUUGGACCUAACCGGUCAGAAGCAGGUCUUCAAAGCAGAGAACAACCCCUGGGUUACCCCAAUUGCUGACCAGUUCCAGCUUGGCGUCUCCCAUGUUUUCGAAUAUAUUCGUUCAGAAACAUACAAAUAGUGAGUAAACCUUGCUUUUCUGAAACACCAGGUUGGUUUUUAAAGUAAUUUUAAAAUUUUAAAUAUUUUUUAAAAAAUACAUCUUGUGGUAUUUUUUUCCCUGUUGUUAGCGGCGAGCAUGCAAGCAUUUCUAAAUGUUUUAUUGAAAGCUACAGGCGGUAAUUGUGGCUGAUAUUUGUACAAUGUUUUUAUUUGACAUGUAAAAGGGCAUUUUUUCUGCCAAUUCUGUUUAGAGAAUUUUUAAGGCAUUAAAUUGAUUAAACAUC